CUCGAGUCCAGUACCGCAGCGAGAUUUCCAAACGCUGAUAGUUGGGCUUCCUUGGCUUGGAGGAAAUGUGCUUAACUGCCACCAUCUCAACCCUCAACCGUGAACCAGACAGAACUGAAUUCUUUCACCACGUGGGCAGCUUGGCGUUUGACUUCCACAUAACAGCGUGGCCUCCACCAAAGUCCUGGAGAGUCUACAGGAGGAAAGGAGAGGCUGCCACAUUUGGCUGGGACUGGUCACGUGAUGUAACAGGAGAUAGGACCUGGACAUUACUGGGGAGCAUUUUUCUGUCUACUACAGUGCCCUCUAUGAAAUCCCAUGGUACAUGCCUACAAGGACACAUACCCUGGCAAUAUAAUUCAACCAGGCAAGAGCUGCUACAACGUGAUGUACUGUUGAUCAACACCUACCUUCGUUCACUCUUCAACCUCAGCUCACCUCUUGUGAGUAGCUAAAGAAGAAGCACAAGAUGCACCUGGACCACAGCCUUCUUGCUUUCAAGGACUAGCAUGUCUUGAAACCAGGGGUGAUGCUGCUAGGCUAGACAUUGUAUUUACAGAAGAGAAAAAAAAUCAAGCAUGGUCUCUUCCCUCGAGGAGCUUAUGGGCCAGUUUAAGAAACAAAUAUUAAACAAGUAAUCAUGCAAAGGAACAUAUAGUAACCCCAUAUUCUGAUAAACAUUACAGAUAAAGCUUUUCUAUAUAAUCCAGAACAAUGAGCAGAGGCAAGGUUUACAUUGGGCUAUCAGGAGUGGCUUCAUGGGUAGCUGAGAAGUAAAUGUUGGAUAGGGCUUGGACAAAAAUCAAUUGGGAGGGAGGGGAGCUUUCCUGGAACAGCACAUGCAAAGAUCCUGGAGCUGGAAAGAGCUUAGGUAUUUGAAUACCUGAAUGAUGGGCAGUGUCACCCCAUCACUCAUCUGUCAGUCCUCUCAUGUUUUCCUUCUAGGAGGGAGUUCACUUAUGUUCUGCAUGUCCAUGUGAAAUAUCUGUUUGCUACGGAGUUGUAAAUAAACAGACUGAUUGUAUAAAUGUGUAAUUGUUCAUGUCCUAUAAUCUGCUUUCCUAUAAUCAGGUCAUAAACUCCUGGUGAACUUGCCUGCAGAAUUGAAAGAUUCUUACCCUUUAGCAUAAAAUACAGACAACCACCAUCUGUCCUAACCCAGAUUA
rnacentral:lncRNA from 10 species